rnacentral:ncRNA from 2 species
UGAAAAAGUGGAGGCGAUGACUCGAGGUCUGUAAACUGGUCGCUUGCUCGAAAUUCUGGGCAAAGACCUCGACGAGCCAAUGGCGAAACCGUCCACUUGACA